GUUAAGCGACUAAGCGUACACGGUGGAUGCCCUGGCAGUCAGAGGCGAUGAAGGGCGUGCUAAUCUGCGAUAAGCGCCGGUAAGGUGAUAUGAACCGUUAUAACCGGCGAUACCCGAAUGGGGAAACCCAGUGUGAUUCGUCACACUAUCAUUAACUGAAUCCAUAGGUUAAUGAGGCGAACCGGGGGAACUGAAACAUCUAAGUACCCCGAGGAAAAGAAAUCAACCGAGAUUCCCCCAGUAGCGGCGAGCGAACGGGGAGGAGCCCAGAGCCUGAAUCAGCAUGUGUGUUAGUGGAAGCGUCUGGAAAGGCGCGCGAUACAGGGUGACAGCCCCGUACACAAAAGCGCAUGUGCUGUGAGCUCGAUGAGUAGGGCGGGACACGUGGUAUCCUGUCUGAAUAUGGGGGGACCAUCCUCCAAGGCUAAAUACUCCUGACUGACCGAUAGUGAACCAGUACCGUGAGGGAAAGGCGAAAAGAACCCCGGCGAGGGGAGUGAAAAAGAACCUGAAACCGUGUACGUACAAGCAGUGGGAGCCCCACC
rnacentral:rRNA from 1 species